rnacentral:rRNA from 1 species
UACGAAGGGGGCUAGCGUUGCUCGGAAUCACUGGGCGUAAAGCGCACGUAGGCGGAUCUUUAAGCCAGGGGUGAAAUCCCAAGGCUCAACCUUGGAACUGCCUUUGAUACUGGGGAUCUCGAGUCCGGAAGAGGUUGGUGGAACUGCGAGUGUAGAGGUGAAAUUCGUAGAUAUUCGCAAGAACACCAGUGGCGAAGGCGGCCAACUGGUCCGGUACUGACGCUGAGGUGCGAAAGCGUGGGGAGCAAACAGG